rnacentral:rRNA from 1 species
CAGCAGUGGGGAAUAUUGCACAAUGGGGGAAACCCUGAUGCAGCGACGCCGCGUGGAGGAAGAAGGUUUUCGGAUUGUAAACUCCUGUCGUUAGGGACGAUAAUGACGGUACCUAACAAGAAAGCACCGGCUAACUACGUGCCAGCAGCCGCGGUAAAACGUAGGGUGCAAGCGUUGUCCGGAAUUACUGGGUGUAAAGGGAGCGCAGGCGGGAAGACAAGUUGGAAGUGAAAACCAUGGGCUCAACCCAUGAAUUGCUUUCAAAACUGUUUUUCUUGAGUAGUGCAGAGGUAGAUGGAAUUCCCGGUGUAGCGGUGGAAUGCGUAGAUAUCGGGAGGAACACCAGUGGCGAAGGCGGUCUACUGGGCACCAACUGACGCUGAGGCUCGAAAGCAUGGGUAGCAAACAGGAUUAGAUACCCUGGUAGUCCAUGCCGUAAACGAUGAUUACUAGGUGUUGGAGGAUUGACCCCUUCAGUGCCGCAGUUAACACAAUAAGUAAUCCACCUGGGGAGUACGACCGCAAGGUUGAAACUCAAAGGAAUUGACGGGGGCCCGCACAAGCAGUGGAGUAUGUGGUUUAAUUCGAAGCAACGCGAAGAACCUUACCAGGUCUUGACAUCCGAUGCAUAGCACAGAGAUGUGUGAAAUCCUUCGGGACAUCGAGACAGGUGGUGCAUGGUUGUCGUCAGCUCGUGUCGUGAGAUGUUGGGUUAAGUCCCGCAACGAGCGCAACCCUUAUUGCCAGUUACUACGUUAAGAGGACUCUGGCGAGACUGCCGUUGACAAAACGGAGGAAGGUGGGGAUGACGUCAAAUCAUCAUGCCCUUUAUGACCUGGGCUACACACGUACUACAAUGGCGUUAAACAAAGAGAAGCAAGACCGCGAGGUGGAGCAAAACUCAAAAACAACGUCUCAGUUCAGAUUGCAGGCUGCAACUCGCCUGCAUGAAGUCGGAAUUGCUAGUAAUCGCGGAUCAGCAUGCCGCGGUGAAUACGUUCCCGGGCCUUGUACACACCGCCCGUCACACCAUGGGAGUUUGUAACACCCGAAGUCAGUGACCCAACCGCAAGGAGGGAGCUGCCGAAGGUGGGAUAAGCGACUGGGGUGAAGUCGUAACAAGGUAGCCGUA